GAUGAACGCUGGCGGCGUGCCUAAUACAUGCAAGUCGAGCGAACAGACGAGGAGCUUGCUCCUUUGACGUUAGCGGCGGACGGGUGAGUAACACGUAGGUAACCUACCUAUAAGACUGGGAUAACUUCGGGAAACCGGAGCUAAUACCGGAUAAUAUUUCGAACCGCAUGGUUCGAUAGUGAAAGAUGGCUUUGCUAUCACUUAUAGAUGGACCUGCGCCGUAUUAGCUAGUUGGUAAGGUAACGGCUUACCAAGCCAACGAUACGUAGCCGACCUGAGAGGGUGAUCGGCCACACUGGAACUGAGACACGGUCCAGACUCCUACGGGAGGCAGCAGUAGGGAAUCUUCCGCAAUGGGCGAAAGCCUGACGGAGCAACGCCGCGUGAGUGAUGAAGGUCUUCGGAUCGUAAAACUCUGUUAUUAGGGAAGAACAAACGUGUAAGUAACUGUGCACGUCUUGACGGUACCUAAUCAGAAAGCCACGGCUAACUACGUG
rnacentral:rRNA from 1 species